UACAGAGACUGCAAGCGUUACUCGGAUUCACUGGGCGUAAAGGGAGCGCAGGCGGGCAGGUGUGUCAGACGUGAAAUCCCAGGGCUCAACCCUGGGGCUGCGUUUGAAACUACCUGUCUAGAGAUUCGGAGGGGUAAGCGGAAUUCGUGGUGGAGCAGUGAAAUGCGUAGAUAUCACGAGGAACACCGACGGCGAAGGCAGCUUACUGGACGAAAUCUGACGCUCAGGCUCGAAAGCGUGGGGAGCAAAAGGG
rnacentral:rRNA from 1 species